rnacentral:rRNA from 1 species
UACGAAGGGGGCUAGCGUUGCUCGGAAUUACUGGGCGUAAAGGGCGCGUAGGCGGCACUGUUAGUCAGGCGUGAAAGUCCUGGGCUCAACCUGGGAACUGCGCUUGAUACGGCAGAGCUAGAGGAUGGAAGAGGCUCGCGGAAUUCCCAGUAUAGAGGUGAAAUUCGUAGAUAUUGGGAAGAACACCGGUGGCGAAGGCGGCGAGCUGGUCCAUUACUGACGCUGAGGCGCGACAGCGUGGGGAGCAAACAGG